UGGGGAAUUUUGGACAAUGGGCGCAAGCCUGAUCCAGCAAUGCCGCGUGCAGGAUGAAGGCCUUCGGGUUGUAAACUGCUUUUGUCAGGGAAGAAACGAGUUUCUCUAAUACAGAGACUUAAUGACGGUACCUGAAGAAUGAGCACCGGCUAACUACGUGCCAGCAGCCGCGGUAAUACGUAGGGUGCAAGCGUUAAUCGGAAUUACUGGGCGUAAAGCGUGCGCAGGCGGUUAUGCAAGACAGAUGUGAAAUCCCCGGGCUCAACCUGGGAACUGCCUUUGUGACUGCAUAGCUAGAGUACGGUAGAGGGGGAUGGAAUUCCGCGUGUAGCAGUGAAAUGCGUAGAUAUGCGGAGGAACACCGAUGGCGAAGGCAAUCCCCUGGACCUGUACUGACGCUCAUGCACGAAAGCGUGGGGAGCAAACA
rnacentral:rRNA from 1 species